GUUUUUGUUUUUGUUUAUGUUGUGUUCCUACUAAGUUUUUACUGUGUAUACCUUAUGUAUUCAUCACAUUUUUUUAUUCCUUCUGCACGUUACAUGUAUUCAUAUUAUAACUUUAAAAUGUACAUAACUAUUUGGAUACUAAUAGAAAUUAAUAAUCUUAGAUUAUUAGGUAACUCAACUAUUAAAGAUUAACAUCAAAUUUUUGGGAUUUACCAUCUAUUUUAUCUGACUGCCUUUAAAAUGUAUUCUGGAAUAACAGUUAAUUCCAUCACUUUCAACAUUAGUACAAUACCAAAUCUUACUAUCGAAACGGAGUUAUCCUUUUCUUUGAGUAAACAUUUAUAAACUAAUUACAAAUAAGAAAAAAAAAUAUAUUUCGCACAUAACUUUUUAAAAUUAAGCUAAUUGAGUAUAGAAUUUAUUUUAUAUUCCAUUAUUAAUAUGGCCGCCAGUUAUAUAAAAAUUAGAAUCAAGUACCGACAUAUAUUUAUUUAUAAAACACUUUAAUAAUUAAUAACUUAUCUAAUCCUUCAGUGGUGGUGACUCCUAAAUUCCUUGGAUAUACUCCAAUAUAAUUAUGUUCUUUGGCUCCACAUCCAACCAACAGUAAAUUUAGUACCACAAAGAUAAUUUUUCUUUGAGUACCAUGGUUUCCACUGAUUGAUCUGUUUCACUAUCAGUAGGCUGAUUCGCUUACUUUCUUUCUGAUCUCAAAUUCCAUUUGCUGCCAUUGUAUCUUCUCACGUAUCUUCUUUUACUACUUAAUGCAGUGCCAUUAUAGAAGUUCUUACCCGUAUUAGUCCUCAUGCAUCUGGACACUACAUUAUAAUCUCUGGUUCUCAAGCUAACCUUUUAGCUAUAGCUGACAAUACCUUCCUUACCAAAUGUUCCCCCAUCGUUUUAAAAAUCCAUUCUUCACAUCGGUGUCUAUUUUCAUCUCAUUGAAUUCCCAGGCAUAUUGAUAUUAUUGGCAACUAAGACACUGAUUCCCCCUGGCUAGCUACACUUUAACAACUAUUUUAUUUCAGGUAUCCCAGUGCCCUUAUUUUAAUGAAUUUUUGCCACUCAACGAUAAUCCACCCAUUAACUUUGAAAUCUUAAAUGGGAACAUUUUCUAAAAUACUUAAUUUCUGUAUUUAAUUUCUCUUAAAAUGUCCAUUCGUUCAUUGGUUUACGCCUUAAAGAUUAGUACAUUCCAGAAUCUUGUACCUCAUCACUUGUUUGAUUUGUGGAUGAAUAGUUCUAUUCUCUCUUAUUGCGAUUAUUGUCAUGUAACUUUCAUUAUGUAUUAAUCUGCUCUUUUUUCAAUUGAAAAAAUCUUGUUUCCUCUUGCUUUCAAUUUCUCUUAUACAAAUGCUCUUUUUUCCAACAAUGUCACUCUUUAAAAUUUUCUACACUUCAUCCUCCAUACAGAUUAUAAUAUUUGAAAAAGUAUGGGUUUAGCAUUUUUUUCCCUGUAAAAUGGUUAGGAUACAAUCAUUUUUGUUGAAUUUUUUUAAAAAAAAUACAAACUUUUCUUAUAUUUUUUUUAGCAUACAUUUUGGUCCGACAGUAAAACCUCUUAUAUAUUUUUAUGCAUUAAUUUUAUUAUUGAUAUUGUACUGUUAUUGUAGUAUAAGUUAUAGUGAUUAAACUGAACUCUGUAUGUUUAUUAAAUUUAUUGUAAGACGUCCAUAAAAGAAUAAUAACCGUUUUAUAUAUUAAAAAGAUAAGCAUGUAGUAAAUUUAGUAUUUUAUUUUAAUUUCUUAUACUUAACAAAUGUAUCUAAAAUUCUUACAGUUAAAUAUGUAAAUUAGUUUUAGCAUUUUUUUAGAAACAAGAAAUUUACAAUUUUUAUAUGUUUGUCUACCUAAUAUUUUUAAUAUGUCUAUUAUUUAAUGUUAAACAAAUACUGAAUACAUUAUUUUUCUGUAUAAUUAUAAUAAAGGGGAAAACAUGUGGGUAUUUUAAGUUUUUUUUGUUUUUACAGUAAAUUGUUUUAGUUUAAAUACCACUUUAUAUACAAGUACAAGUCAAGCAUGUGGCUAUGCAUAUUUAAUGGGAUGUGUUUUAAUUUAAUAUUAAAAUAUAACUUAGGAGUGGGAAGGCCGUUUACACAUCUUAUAUAUUUGAUUAUACUGCCGAGGGAGGCAACCAAUCCAAAACACCACCCCUCUCCCUUGACUACGUGCCUGGUACAAGUAAUAUAAAAAUAUUUGGAAUAAACCAUAAAUUUGUAUUAUAAACAUUUAAUGGUGGAAGUAUUUAUAAAUCAACCAAACCAAUAUAUAAAUAAAUAAUAUAUAAUCAAAAAAUGCUUUUGUUUACAAUUUUUUUUUUUGUGGUAGGGGUUGUCUGAAACCCGAAAACCUCCUUGUGUAAGUGCCUAUUUAGUAUACUAUAAUUAAAAAUGAAUAAUGUUCAUAUGGAUAGUGGGAGAAUAAUCAUAAUUAAAUUAUGUUUUAGUUAGAUAAGAUUUUGUAUAUAAAAAAUUAAAUAUAUAAUCAUUUUGAAAAUUGUGUUACCUUUAUAAAUUCAUAAAGUUAAAUAUUUAACAUUAUCUCUGCUUAAGUUAGUUUUGCUUUUAAUAUGUUCUUCAAAAGUAUAUUCCCAAGGUUAUUUAUAAAUGUCCAAAUGCUGGCUGUAAUCGGUCAUAUAAAACAAAACCAGGAAUAUAUACUCAUUUAAAGGAUGAAUGUGGUGUAGAACCUAAAUUUCGAUGUAAGCAUUGUUUGAAAGCAUUCAAACGAAAAUGGUCAUUCCAAUCUCAUAUACUACAUGUGCACAGAUCACUAAUUGCGUUUAACAAAGAAAUGGUUUGCAAUGAAGAGACACCAAUGAUCUUUGGCUCUUAAGACGAUUCAAAACACACAUAAUUAAGAUAAUUUACAUUGUUAGACAUUUUCAUAGUUUGUUAAAAUAUAAAUGUAUUUCUUUAUGAAUUGACUUUUCAAGUCUUAUAGUUGGUUUUAAUGGAACUAGAUAAGUACAUAAUUAAACUAUUUUUAAAUUUUCCGUGUUUUAAAUAUUUAAUGUAUGUGUAAAAGGCUAUAAAACAGAUCAAUAUUGUAACAAAAUUAUGUUUCACUAGAUGUAUCUUCUACCUACAAUCAUAAUGUUUUAAACAAUUGUUAUAGUAUAAAAUCUAAUUUGUCUUUUAAAUGUAAUUUUUUUGUUGAUAAAUAUAUAAUUUUAUAUUAGUAUAUUAGUUAGAUUAUUGAAAGUAGAGGUUGAUUUAAAUGAACUAGUAAAAUGUACAAGUUAUCCAUGUACAAUUAAAUCAAUAAAUUAAAUACAUAUUUUUGAUUAUAUUUUAACAGUGUAUACUUGCUUCCCAAUAUGUUGUAUUUUAUUUUAAUUAUUUGCAUGUAUUUUAAAUUAAUUAUAUUUGUAUUCAUAUACACCAUACAAAUUAAGUGUACUAUGUUUAAUAUAGAUACUAGAUAGUUAACCUAUACUUAGUUGAACUAUUAUGAAAUCAUAUUAUAUUAAUUGUCUUACCUCAUCAACUUAUAGAAUAUAUAAAUGCAUUUUUAGAUGAUGAAGAUGUAUUUUUCUGUACCAACAAAUGUGGCCGAAAAUAUAAGUCAAAAACAGCGUUGUAUACUCAUCUUAAAUAUGAAUGUGGAGUAGACCCACAAUUUCACUGUCAAGUGUGUCAUAAAAGUUAUAAGCAUAAAUGUACGUUUAAAGUUCAUAUGAUUCGAGAUCAUGGGAUUGUGUUGUAAUAAUAUUGCAAUUAUACAAAACCAGGGUUGGGCAAGUUACUCAAUUUAUUUGUGGAAACCUUUUAAUUUGUAACAAGCUACAAGUUACAAGCGAAAUUAAAAAUGAAUAACUUGUUACAACUUACAAAAAGAACAGAGUUACAUUACUUAGUUACACGUAACUAUGAUUUGCCCAAUCCUGCACACAACAUAACUUAAAAUUUGUAUUUAGUAAAAUUCAUAUAAUUCUAUGUAUUUUAAUUUUAACACAAUUAUAAGUAAUUACUUAUGAAAAGUAAUUUAGAUACUAUACUCUGUUCAACAUGAGAUGAUGACUCGGCCGCGACCAGUUUUCAUCAGGCGGUGGUCAGAAAUAUGGUAAGACGCCGUCCCCACUAUGGCGACGCGUCUGGCGCUGGCACGGAACAAAGCCAUGCCCAUGCGCACAACUCGGCCGCCUGGCCAUCUUCUCAUUUUGAACAGAGUAUAGUUGGAAUAUAUUAUUAGGUACCUACUUUAAUUUAUUAUUUGUCUUUUGGGACUAGUCCAAUGUCUGAUCUACCAACAAACGGCUAUCUACAAUGAAGCAUUAUAGGUAGAACGUGCAAUCUACUGAUAACUGAUAUUUACAUUAUAUGUAAUAGUACUUUAAUGAUAUUAAUAUGAUAUCUGUUUAAUAAUUAAUUAAUUGCACUACAACAACAAAACAUAAUUAUGAAUGAUGUAAAUUGUAUUGAGUAUUACAACCUUUUAAUUAAGAAUGGUCAUAAAAGUAUCAUUUCUUGUAAAAGAAUAUUGAUUGCAAUUAAUGUAGUGGAUAAUUACAUGAAAUGAUAAGGACCAGUAAUAAAAAUAUUUGGGCAACACUUUUAAAAAAAUGUGACAGGUACUAAAAAAUGAUGCCAGACAAAUAAUUCACGCUGGAAAUCCAAUUUUUACUUGCAAUGUUAUAGUAUUUUUGCUCUAAUGAAAAUAAUAAGACUUGUCUGGUAUUGGGCUAACUAAUAAAUGAAUGGUGUAGCAAUUGUUUAACUUAAUAAAAAUUUUAAUAUUUGAUGAUUUUUUAUCAGAUUUAAAGAUAAACUUAAUAAGUAACAUUUUAGUAAAGAUGUGACUAUUUUGAAUAUCAUUUAUAAAAAGUUAGUCGGUAGAUCACACGUUCAACUAUAAAUUUGUCGGUAGAUAACACAUUGCACCAAUCCCUACAUGCCUCGGUGGCUAACUUCUGUGCAUGACCAUGGCUUUGUUCGCAAGCACUGGCCUUGCUCGUCAAUUUGGUGGGGGAAGCAUUUGAUAAUGCAUCUAUCACGGACGAAAACUGGUCGCCGCCAAGAUGGUUGGGUUAUAGAAACCGAUGUCUUGGGUUGUUUAUUCUACUGUCCAAAAAUGUGUGGUCGUAAAUAUAAAUCAAAAAGAGCUGUAAAACUACAUAUGAAGUACGAGUGUGGGGUCAAACCUCAAUUUCAAUGUAAUAUUUGUGGUAAAAACUUUAAGCAACCAAUUCACCAUAAAAGUCAUAUGCUUGCUAUUCAUAAGAUUAUUGCAAUAAAUAAAUAUAAAUAAUUCUAUAGAAAAAAUAAAAUAAAUACA